AAAUUAAAUCAACCAUUUAGGGCUGAGAGGUGCUGAUGAUACAUAACUUGUGUUUAUCAGACACUGCAGGCACCAUUGUCUCCCUCUGUUUCUGGGUAGAGGUUAAGUGCUCACAGUUUGAUGAACAGGAAACAUAACAAGAGACAUGAGCAUAAGACAGAUAAGUCAGGACAUAUAGGAGAGUGAAGCUAAAGGCCUCUGAACUCUUGUUUCUAAAAGCUGAACUAAUUAGUGUGACUGGAUCCUUUGUCAGCAUGUUUGUCUGCCUGAGAAAUUGACACAAAAAAGGGACAGUUCAUUUCCAAUGUGAGCUCAGCGCCAUCUAGCGUCAGGAAGCUGUGUCCGCUGUGGUAAAGAAGGAGCUGAAACAAAAGGCGGAGCUCUCUAUUUACUGGUCGAUCUACGCUCCUACUCUCACCUAUGGUCAUGAGCUUUGGGUCAUGGCCGAAAGGACAAGAUCUCAGAUACAGGCGGCUGAAAUGAGCUUCUUUCUCCCUUAGAGAUAGGGUGAGGAGCUUGGAGUAGAGCCACUGCUCUUCCACAUCAAGAGGAGCCAGCUGAGGUAGCUCGGGCAUCUGUACCGGAUGCCUCCUGGGCGCCUCUAUGGGGAGGUGUUCCGGGCAUGUCCCACCGGGAGGAAACCCGGGGAAGACCCAGGACACGCCAGGGAAUAUGUCACUCGGCUGACCCAGAAACGCCUCGGUACCAGGAUGAGCUGGAGGAAAUGUCCAGGGAAAAGAAAGUGUGGGCAUCCCUGCUUAGGCUACUGCCCCCGCGGCCCGGCCCCGGAUAAGCGGAAGAAGAUGGAUGGAUGGAUGGAUGGAUGGUCCGCGCAUUCCUGCACUUCCUGUCCGCCUCCUCACACCUGUGUUGUCCUGCAGUGGAUCCGACAGCAUUCCCACUCAGUCAACAGCCUUUCAGCCGAAGUGAAAAUUGCAAGUCCGAGUCUCAGGUCCGGCAGGAAUUCUCGGUGGCACAGAGUAAAUAGCCAGCGCCCUGUCCACCUUCAAUACCACGACUGAGGUGAGACCCUUGAGCAAGGCACCGGAUCCCCAACUGCUCCCCUGGCGCCGCAGCAUUGGUUGCCCACUGUUCCGGGUGUGUGUUCACUGCUGUGUGUGUGUACUUGGGUGGGUUAAAUGCAGAGCACAAAUUCGGAGUAUGGGUCACUAUAUUUGGCCAUAUAAGUCACUUUCACUUAUAUUUUUGCUGAGCAUUUUUUAAAAAUUUAAUUCCUUCUCUUUUUGCAGCAUUUUUUUCUAAAUGUCACACCUCUGUCAAAUCAUUGAAGCUGCUUUCUUAGUUUGCUUGUAUUUUGCCAACCGGUAUUUGAAAGUGUUUUCUGACAAUGCAAUGCUCUUAGAGCUCUUAGACUGCUGCUCAUUCCUGCUGUCCUUCACACGCCUUUCUCCUCCAAUACUUUCAGCUUCAGUCCUCUGGGUGGAGGUUUUAGUCCCAAGGUAUAAAAACAGCUUUGUUCCCUCAGUUCUAAUGGUGUUGAAUAAGAUGUAGAGGUAUUUUGACCACUUGUAUCAUGUUGGCUGUCACUACUAUAUUUUACUGCAAAACAAAUGUACCUGUGUGUAUAAAUUAAGUAACCAAACCUCUGCCUCUGUACAUAUAAUCAUGGAUGGCUGAGCGAUUUGCCCAUAUUUUGAUUUUAAUUUUGACACAUUUUAGGCCAGAGUAUAGGGCAUUCCAAUUUGAACACCCCUCCUCAGUUGUCAUUGACUGUAUUUAGUUUCAGGCAGUUUUACAGCUGCCGAGCACUGCAGUAACCUGUUUUUCUGCUUUAACAAACCUCGUUAUUUACAACAGGUGCCAUAGUUGGAAAACGUAUUCAAUCACUGAAUAAUCUAGAAUCAACCACCAGGGGCGCACACU
rnacentral:lncRNA from 1 species